rnacentral:lncRNA from 1 species
CCGCCAUGCCAUCCAGACUGAGGAAGACCCGGAAACUCCGGGGCCACGUGAGCCACGGCCACGGUCGCAUCGGUAAGCACCGCAAGCACCCAGGAGGCCGCGGGAAUGCUGGAGGCAUGCAUCACCACAGGAUCAACUUUGACAAAUAGUGAGUGUUUCGGAAGUGGGGGCAGAAGGGAUGACUUAGAACAGCUUCUCUCUGGAAACGGUUUCUUAACGUUGGUUAUUAGCUUUAGCGAGCAAAACACUGCAUGUGAACUGAGGGAACCUGUCCGAGGCUAGAGUCACGCUCAGGUAUUGCUUGUUGCCUCAGUGUGCUAGAGUCCUCGAAGAAAAACUACUGACCUUAUUCACUGGCUGUGGACUUUAUGGCGCAGUCAGUCACCAGGUUAGUGACAUACUUCAGAUCAACCCUGUUUAGGGACCCUGUUAAAAGUGAGGGCGGGGUUCUACUGAGUGGCCUGACAGCCAGUUAAAAAUUAUAUCAGGUGCCUGCCGUGUCAAUGUUUACAAUAGUGAACAUUUAUACUGCGAUAGGAGAUAGCUAGAAAGAUGAGCUUGCUCUGAAGAUGGUUGCCUUCCUUCCUAGUCAUCCAGGUUACUUCGGCAAAGUUGGCAUGAGGCAUUACCACUUGAAGAG